rnacentral:tRNA from 5 species
GGGCCCGUAACUCAGCUUGGUAGAGUAACCGGCUCAUAACCGGUGAGCCAAGGGAUCGAAGCCCUUCGGGCCCACCA